rnacentral:piRNA from 1 species
GAGAUGUGCACUCAGACAAGAAUCCAGAAG